UUGAACGCUGGCGGCAUGCCUUACACAUGCAAGUCGAACGGCAGGCACGGGAGCAAUCCUGGUGGCGAGUGGCGAACGGGUGAGUAAUAUAUCGGAACGUGCCCGGUCGUGGGGGAUAACGUAGCGAAAGCUACGCUAAUACCGCGUACGAUCUACGGAUGAAAGCGGGGGAUCGCAAGACCUCGCGCGAUUGGAGCGGCCGAUAUCAGAUUAGGUAGUUGGUGAGGUAAAGGCUCACCAAGCCGACGAUCUGUAGCUGGUCUGAGAGGACGACCAGCCACACUGGGACUGAGACACGGCCCAGACUCCUACGGGAGGCAGCAGUGGGGAAUUUUGGACAAUGGGCGCAAGCCUGAUCCAGCAAUGCCGCGUGCAGGAUGAAGGCCUUCGGGUUGUAAACUGCUUUGUACGGAACGAAACGGUGAGCUCUAAUACAGUUUGCUAAUGACGGUACCGUAAGAAUAAGCACCGGCUAACUACGUG
rnacentral:rRNA from 1 species